rnacentral:rRNA from 1 species
CCUACGGGAGGCAGCAGUCGAGAAUCAUUCACAAUGGGGGAAACCCUGAUGGUGCGACGCCGCGUGGGGGAAUGAAGGUCUUCGGAUUGUAAACCCCUGUCAUGUGGGAGCAAAUUAAAAAGAUAGUACCACAAGAGGAAGAGACGGCUAACUCUGUGCCAGCAGCCGCGGUAAUACAGAGGUCUCAAGCGUUGUUCGGAAUCACUGGGCGUAAAGCGUGCGUAGGCUGUUUCGUAAGUCGUGUGUGAAAGGCGCGGGCUCAACCCGCGGACGGCACAUGAGACUGCGAGACUAGAGUAAGGGAGGGGGAACCGGAAUUCUCGGUGUAGCAGUGAAAUGCGUAGAUAUCGAGAGGAACACUCGUGGCGAAGGCGGAUUCCUGGACAUUAACUGACGCUGAGGCACGAAGGCCAGGGGAGCGAAAGGGAUUAGAUACCCUUGUAGUC